GCCAAAUACAUCAAAAUCCUUAAACGUUUUUUUAACGCAACAAUGCAAAGGUUUUCCCUAAUGUAAACAAAAGCGUCAUAGAUAUCAGAUGUUAAUCGCAACAUUUUGCUACGGGGAUUUUUACAACAGCAGCAAAAACCGGACCAUUUGUUGCUAUGAAUUGAAUUAAAACAAAACUAACGCACACUAGUUUGUUCAGUUUUACAACACGUAACUUUUCCUCCAUGAAUAUUAUAAAAGACCAGUCCUUCGCUAGUUCAUUACUAUUUCCGACAUCGUCAUUAUCUAACGUUACUAUAGCAAUGGCGUCUGUUUUACCAAUUUGUUUGUUUGUUGUGAUUUUAGCUUUAACAUCAGCUGUGCCUGUUGAUGAACAAAAACCUUUUGAUUGCCCCCAAAACGAGCGGUAUAUCAAAUGUGACCUUGCAGUAUGCGUCAAGACCUGUGAACACUUGACCAAUUUCCCGCCGUGUCCAUCCAUAGCCGCUGGUUGCUACGAACCUGCUUGCUUAUGCGUUGAUGGGUACCUAAGGAAUUCUGCAGGCGUUUGUGUACCAAGGG
rnacentral:lncRNA from 1 species